CCUAUUGUAUUUCCGGUAGUGGUGCAGCUUCACGCGCAGCUCAGCAGGCUCGUUAAACUGGUGGAGGCAGACAUUGUUGUGGUAGCAGCUCAGCUCCGGAGGAUGAAGCGCCCGUAAUGAGCAGCGUUUCGCAGAGAUCCCGCGUUUGGGCUGGAACUGGAACCAGCUGUAGUGUUUCGCCGGGCGAUCACAGGGUCAGAAUGGUCGGCGAGUGCAGGGAGUGAUCCGACUGGUCGCCACUGCUGCUGCUGCGCCGAUGGGCGACUCCGCAGGGCUGCUGGGCCUGAGGGUGCAAGGCAUGAUGGGAUGCGGCGGGCGCUGCUGCUUCUGACGUGGAGGACGGGUACGUGAAAACCAUGCCGGCGGAGAAGGACAUGAGGGAGGGCGUCGAUAUCAGGACCGGGGUGUGGAGCGACUCGGACUCGGAGGCGACGACCGAGGCGGUGGACGCCACUGGUUUGGCCGGGAUUGUUAUCUUCGGUUUGGGCUUCUCUGGCUUUUUUGUGGAGGGUCUCGGAAUGAUGGAUUCCUCUGGUUCCAGUUUGAUGGCUCCCAAAGAGGAAAGCGAAGGCGUGGAAUCAGAAUCGGAGUCAGAGUCGUCAAUUUUGCAGAUGGGACGGUGAGCUUCCAGGACCAACUCCAGCUUCUCCUUCUCCUUCUGCAGUUCAGCUAUUUCUUUCUGCAGACGCGACUUCUCGUCCUCCAGCUGAUCGGUUUCCUGCUCCGGAAGGGAGGACAAUCAAGUUCAUUCAUGCCUGACUCAGGUAUUUGCACUUUUUAGGAAUUAAGUGUUAUGACACUUGUAAAAUCUUUACUCACACUUUGUAAUGAGUCAGUCAGCUCGCGGCGGCGAUUGCGACAUUUUGCUGCUGCCAUUUUAUUCCUUUCCCUUCUGAUCCUGCGUCUUUCCAGUUCUUCAAAUGACAACUGUGAUUAAAAAGAGAAGUACAAACUAUUACAUAUCAGAAAAUAGGCUACAGAGCUGUUAAAAAGUAUUUACACCCUUACAGGUUUCUUCUGUUUGUGUCACUUACAUGUUUCAGACCUAAACCUGGUUGACCUCAUUUAAACUUUUAAAAGAUGCCAACCUGGUUUUAUGGGUAAAGUAUUUACCCUAAAAGUGUUUUUAAUAGGGUUAAAACUGGACAAUAACAUAUUACAAUAUAAGAGUUUCAAGUUGAUAUUAAUAAUUAUUGAUUAGUUUUUUGUUUGAAAUAUCUGAAAUACUACCGUUUCUUGUUUUAUACAUAAAUUACUCUGAAAUUGUUUUACUUAUUUUCUAUUUUCACUACGCCCCGUUCUUUUUCUUUUUCACAGAUAGUGACAAAACCUUCAACUAGUGUAACCUUCAACUUGCUGAGUAACUAGUUACUCAGCAAGUUGUUGCUAGGUAACCAAACAGCAAGAGAAUUCGUUGAUUCCACCAACAGUCCUCGGCCAUUCAGGAGCAGAUUUGUUACAUUUAAAGUCACAAACUGAUUUCUAGACAGAAUAUUUCCUAAAACUCAAGAUGAGAAGAGCGUUGUCUUUUUGUGCUGUGGAACUUUACUAAAAUGCCAUUUCUGACUCUCUUUUUUUCAUUUAGUUGUGAUUUUUGUUGUUUCUUUUCUAGGUAUUUUAUCCUACAGUUUGUUUUCUUAUGGGUUUCCAUAUAGGUGAUGAUACUUUUGAUUACAAAGUAAUCAGGUGUGAGUUGGUAAAGAAAAAUUAAAUUCAACUUUGUAAAACUCUGGCAAAAAAGCAAGAGGAGCAUUUGCUUUCAGUGCCAAAAUUGUCAAGUCAAAAAAUUAUUAUUUUAUCUACUCGACAAUAAAGUAGUCAGAUUUGUUCUAAAUUAUUUUAAGAUCAAAAAUUUAAAAAGGGCUUUGCUGGUUUGCCUUAUUAAAAUAAAUUUUGCACAUCUUCUAAGGAUCAAUUGGAAGAAAAAUUAGCUCAAUCUAGUCAAUUCUAAUCAAUAAAAUCUGGAUUUUUCUGUGAGAAAUGCUAGCUGUAUUUAUGAAUCAAAAUCAGAUUUGGGUACAGUAAAGUUGCUGGAUAGAUGUGGAGAAAGCAAAAAGCCUACUUAUUUAAAGACAAGUAAUUACUGUUGUUUCCAACAUUUUCUAAAAUAAGAUUUUAAUCUGAAACAUUAAAAUGUGACAAAAAGCAAAAAUAGAAGAGCUGAAUGAUGAGUUGCAUCUCUUGCUUCUGUAUCAUGUAAAUGGAGAAUUACCACCACCAUGUGUGGACUCUGAGUCAUAACAAUCAUGGCGUCUGAAUAACUCGGUAUCGUCUGCUUCUUUUUGUGCUUGUAACAUGACAAGUCUGGUUUUAUCCGACACCCUAUUGAAUAAUUACAGUUGUGUCCUAUAUUUCCUGCCCUUUCGGGUCCAUGACUCACACUCAGACCCCUAGGGUUAGUCAAGUGGUGAGUCACAGAAAAUGACUUGCCCAUGUGAGUCACAUGACUGUGUACUUCCUGUACCAUAAAAUCGCAGCUCUGUGACGUGGAUGUGUGCCAAUCAGCAAGUGCCCGCUGAAAAUGAGAAAUUGCUAAAUGAAUGAAGCUACAAGGGUGAAAAGUUGCAACAAGAGGGAUCCACAUUUUAGAUUUCCUCUGGCAUCUGGAAGCUUUUUGUUUCAUGUGUAAACAAUAACCGUAAAGUAAACAGAGGAUGUUUACAUUAGGGAAUAAAAACUAUUCAAGAGCUUAGAGAAGUUCUCAACAGUUUCUCAGCAAAAUCUAUUUCUAAAUUACUGAAAUUCAGGAAAAAGUGACUGUGUGACACAAUGUUACAGGAUGUUACAUGAUGGUUACACAGAACUGAUUGAGUCACUGGUCACACCUCUGACCUCCUUAAGUCCCAGAUAUUUUAUUUUUACUUCUAAUUCAAUAGAUAGCUGUUUUUACAUUACAAAUAUGUACAACACUGUCGAAAAAACAAAAUUUUGCAAUUGCAGUGUUUCCAUUAACUAAGAAACGGCAUUAAAAAUCAGACAUGAAUAAGUAAAGUCAUUAAAAACGUUACAAGCUAUGAUCCUCCUACCACUUCCUGUUUUCUUCUUCGUGGUUUGUGCCAGUAGCAACAGCCAGUUGUUAAUCGUGUGAUGCGAAAAAAAGUGUUUCCAUUAUAGUUUUGUGUAAUAAAUUAAUUUCGACACGA